GGAGGUGAGUCUUAAAUGAAGAUGGCAGUAUAAAGAGUAGAUACAGGAGGUAUUGACUAGAUACAGGAGGUGAGUCUUAAAUGAAGAUGGCAGUAUAAAGAGUAGAUACAGGAGGUAUUGACUAGAUACAGGAGGUAUUGACUAGAUACAGGAGGUAUUGACUAGAUACAGGAGGUAUUGACUAGAUACAGGAGGUGAGUCUUAAAUGAAGAUGGCAGUAUAAAGAGUAGAUACAGGAGGUAUUGACUAGAUACAGGAGGUAUUGACUAGAUACAGGAGGUGAGUCUUAAAUGAAGAUGGCAGUAUAAAGAGUAGAUACAGGAGGUAUUGACUAGAUACAGGAGGUAUUGACUAGAUACAGGAGGUGAGUCUUAAAUGAAGAUGGCAGUAUAAAGAGUAGAUACAGGAGGUAUUGACUAGAAACAGGAGGUAUUGACUAGAUACAGGAGGUGUGUCUUAAAUGAAGAUGGCAGUAUAAAGAGUAGAUACAGGAGGUAUUGAGUAGAUACAGGAGGUGAGUCUUAAAUGAAGAUGGCAGUAUAAAGAGUAGAUACAGGAGGUAUUGACUAGAUACAGGAGAUGAGUCUUAAAUGAAGAUGGCAGUAUAAAGAGUAGAUACAGGAGGUAUUGACUAGAUACAGGAGGUGAGUCUUAAAUGAAGAUGGCAGUAUAAAGAGUAGAUACAGGAGGUAUUGACUAGAUACAGGAGGUAUUGACUAGAUACAGGAGGUGAGUCUUAAAUGAAGAUGGCAGUAUAAAGAGUAGAUACAGGAGGUAUUGACUAGAUACAGGAGGUGAGUCUUAAAUGAAGAUGGCAGUAUAAAGAGUAGAUACAGGAGGUAUUGACUAGAUACAGGAGGUGAGUCUUAAAUGAAGAUGGCAGUAUAAUAAAGAGUAGAUACAGGAGGUAUUGACUAGAUACAGGAGAUGAGUCUUAAAUGAAGAUGGCAGUAUAAAGAGUAGAUACAGGAGGUAUUGACUAGAUACAGGAGGUGAGUCUUAAAUGAAGAUGGCAGUAUAAAGAGUAGAUACAGGAGGUAUUGACUAGAUACAGGAGGUGAGUCUUAAAUGAAGAUGGCAGUAUAAAGAGUAGAUACAGGAGGUAUUGACUAGAUACAGGAGGUGAGUCUUAAAUGAAGAUGGCAGUAUAAUAAAGAGUAGAUACAGGAGGUGUGGAUGACUAGAUACAUGCAUUCCAUGUUGGAGAAGUGUUUGUAUAUAGUAUGUUCUAUAACUAUAUAUAUUAUCACGUCUUUCUCAAUGGGACAUGUUAGACAUGUUCAAGGCAAAACCUGCAGUUUUAAUUUCAUUUUAAGAGUUUAUUGGUUAUUACACCAUUUGAAAAAUGACUCUGUAAUUAGAUCCCCUCGCUGAAAGUUAAUUCUCAUGUUUAAUUACUCAUGAUCUACUUUAUGUUAUUACAAGUCCUUGUUCCAGUAUGUAACUAAUAUACUUUGUUAUUUCACCUUUGUAUUACCAUGU